rnacentral:rRNA from 1 species
ACCGUACUCCUACGGGAGGCAGCAGUGGGGAAUAUUGGACAAUGGGCGAAAGCCUGAUCCAGCCAUGCCGCGUGUGUGAAGAAGGGCUUCGGAUUGUAAAGCACUUUAAGGUGGGAGGAAGGGCAUUAACCUAAUACGUUGGUGUCUUGACGUUACCGACAGAAUAAGCCCCGGCUAACUCUGUGCCAGCAGCCGCGGUAAUACAGAGGGUGCAAGCGUUAAUCGGAAUUACUGGGCGUAAAGCGCGCGUAGGUGGUUUGUUAAGUUGAAUGUGAAAUCCCCGGGCUCAACCUGGGAACUGCAUCCAAAACUGGAAAGCUAGCGUAUGGUAGCGGGUAGUGGAAUUUCAUGUGUAGCGGUGAAAUGCGUAGAUAUAGGAAGGAACACCAGUGGCGAAGGCGACUACCUGGACAGAAACUGACACUGAGGUGCGAAAGCGUGGGGAGCAAACAGGAUUAGAUACCCCGGUAGUCCUUGAC